rnacentral:rRNA from 1 species
CCUACGGGCGGCUGCAGUGAGGAAUAUUGGUCAAUGGGCGGAAUCCUGAACCAGCCAUGUCGCGUGCAGGAUGACGGCCCUACGAGUUGUAAACUGCUUUUGUACCGGGGUAAAGCGCCUUACGUGUAGGGCUUUGCAUGUACGGUACGAAUAAGGACCGGCUAAUUCCGUGCCAGCAGCCGCGGUAAUACGGAAGAUCCGAGCGUUAUCCGGAUUUAUUGGGUUUAAAGGGUGCGUAGGUCGUAUUACAAGCUGGCGGUGAAAUAUCGAGGCUCAACCUGGGGGUUGCAGCGAGUACUGGAGUGCUAGAGAUCGCAUACAGCAGGCGGAAUGUGUAGUGUAGCGGUGAAAUGCAUAGAUAUUACACAGAACACCGAUUGCGAAGGCAGCUUGCU